CCUACGGGAGGCAGCAGUGGGGAAUAUUGGACAAUGGGGGCAACCCUGAUCCAGCCAUGCCGCGUGUGUGAAGAAGGCCCUCGGGUUGUAAAGCACUUUCAGUGAGGAAGAACGCCUGGUGGUUAAUACCCAUCAGGAAAGACAUCACUCACAGAAGAAGCACCGGCUAACUCCGUGCCAGCAGCCGCGGUAAUACGGAGGGUGCGGGCGUUAAUCGGGAAUUACUGGGCGUAAAGCGCGCGUAGGUGGCUUGAUAAGCCGGUUGUGAAAGCCCCGGGCUCAACCUGGGAACGGCAUCCGGAACUGUCAAGCUAGAGUGCAGGAGAGGAAGGUAGAAUUCCCGGUGUAGCGGUGAAAUGCGUAGAGAUCGGGAGGAAUACCAGUGGCGAAGGCGGCCUUCUGGACUGACACUGACGCUGAGGUGCGAAAGCGUGGGUAGCAAACAGGAUUAGAUACCCUAGUAGUC
rnacentral:rRNA from 1 species